CUUAAAGUUAGCUUUAGAUGUUUAAGGUUAGUGAAUUGCAUUGGUUUUGUUCAUUGUGUGUUUAGGUAUAGGUCAUCUUCUACACUUAGUUGCAUUAAUAUUAGGUUGGGUGUGAUACCCCGCUAGUAAUUAUAAAAGUUAAGUUAGAACUAUAUGGAUUUAAAGAUUUAAUGCAUGAGCUGUUUUGCUAGAUAGACAGAAUAGUUAAUGUUGGUUGCUAAAAAUGUUUAAAAAGUAGGGUGCUAGGAUUUGAUUAAAGUACUUAAUUUGUUUAUCAAAAAAGUAUCAAUUAAUGACCAUAGAAAUGGAUGGAUGUUUUGUAGCUAGUAUGAGUAUUGAAGUGUGUAAAUUCUGAUAGAAUAUCAAUAUCCCUUAUGAACACUUGAGUUUCAGCCAAUUAGGUGAUAAAAUUUUUAAGAUAGAAAUUUUGUUAAGUGAUGAUAAGCAAUAUGUGAUUUUUAGAAUUUAAUUAUUGAUUAUAAAGUUAAUAGAUAGAAAUUUUUACUGUAUGGAAAUUACAUUUAAUGGUAGUUUUGGCCAUUCAAGUGUUUAGCAAAAGAAGACCUAAGGAACUUUUGCUACAUUAAUUUAUUUCGAGGUUGAAGUUGUUUAGGUAUGAACAAUGUUACUGUUUGAGGUAAUUAGUAAGAAAUAUUACUAUUGGACAACAAUGGAAAUUUCAGCUUAAGUGUUUAAUAUCACUAAGGAUAACCAAACGCUAGAGAUUUGAUCAAUUCUUUAUCAAAGGUCAAAAGAUGUGAUUUGUAAACUGUCAAUAUUAGAGUACACAAAAGGCUUUGUAAGUAUGAAUUGAGGUAUACUAUAGUCGAAUGAUUUGAUUAACACCUUAGAAAUUUUGUAAGGAACUUGUUAUUGGUGUUUGGGAGCCUUCCAAAAUUGAGAAAAAAAUAUUUUAUGACAUGAUAAGAACGAGUAAAGAGCUCUAUUGACAAAAGAGAAAAUUUAGACAUGGAUACAUGGUGACACCUAGAUUUUUUUUAUACGAUUUAAAUUGCAAGAUUGUGAGGAAUUAUAGGAUUACGAUUAUUGAAGCGUUGGAAUCCCAAAUUGAUAUGUACACUUGAGGUAUGAAAACAUAGGUGGUAAAUUUUGGGAUAUUUGAAUAUUUAUGAUUUAGCUUGAUGGUGACAGUGUAAGAGUAUUAAAAAGACAUAAAGUUUCAAUUGAUUCCCCAUGUUAUUAGGAUGUGCUGCACUUAGACUUAGAUUGCAUUAGUCUCAUCUAUAUUUUCUCAUUUAAACUCAGGUUUAGAUGCUUUUAAGGUUGGUGAUUUGCAUGCUCAUUUUCUACACUUAGUUGCAUUGACUUAUGAUUGAGAGGUUACACUUUGUGUCGUACACUUAGGAUUAUCGUCCCUUAGUAUUCACAUUAAGUUGUGUCUCAUCAUUAAGGAUCUUCAAUCUUGUGUUAUUAUCAAACCUCUCUUGACAUGUUUACCAAGGUAAGAGAACUAAAGUAAAUAAUGCAAGGGAGUAAAAACAAAAAAACUUAACAAAAUCUUUUUUAGCAUGUAUACAGGUUGUUGUUUCUCUUGUUUGCUGCUUCAGAAUGUGAAGUUCAGAUUGUCAAGGCCUUUGAAACUUCAAAAUGAGAAAGAUGGCUCCAUUGUCUCAGUCUUUUAUGCAUCUCUCAUACACGAUUUUCAGAGCUUCCAUAAAGAGUAUUGAGAGACUAGUAACAAGAAAUACAACACAAGGUUCUUGAGUAUUGUUCCAAGAACUUGUUUGUCUGAAGAUUUUUGGAUUGGGAUUCAAGCCAUCAUGUUGCGACUACACAAUCAAAGUUCCAACUAAACACUAUUGGUGGUGAUCGAUAAGGAGUUUAUUCUCUAAAGAACGACCAACUGAGGAGUUAGAGUUGAAGUACGUGAGGAGCGAGUUAUCCUACAUAUUGUCUUGCCACAGAAACCUUCAAGAUGGCUUGACUGAUGACAUGGUUGGGCUGGCACAGCAACUUAGGGAGCGUAGUCUGAUGAUAAGCCAGUCCCUGCAAAACAUUGAAAAACUUCUUCAGUCAGUUAUGCUCAUCUUUCUUCCCGAUCGGAGAUGAUAUUGAAGACCACUCUGGAUGCGCAAGACUACCAUAUAUGUAUGUCAAAAUAGAGCGUUGUUACCGAUAAUGAAGAAAAUCUGGGAGAAUGUUUUGGACAUUUAGUUGGAAAUUUCAUGUUGUCAAAUCUUUUAUUUUAUUUUGAGAGUAGAACACUACAACUAGACACAGUAAACUGUAUUCUAAAAUAGUAUUCUUUUAUUUUA